UUUUAGCAUUGGAUCUCGUAUUUUGAACAAGUAUAGAAGUCGUUUGCAUGAUGAAACAGUUCAAACUCUCUUGUGCACACGGAGUUGGUUACAUGGUUUUGGAGAUGAUGAUGAGGAGGAGGAGUCAAGCAUUGAUGAUAUAAGACUUUCUAAACAAGACUCAAAUGUUGUUGUUGAUGAAGAGGAUGAAGAUUAGAGGCAUAAUU